AGAGUUGAUCAUGGCUCAGGAUGAACGCUAGCGACAGGCUUAACACAUGCAAGUCGAGGGGCAGCAUAAAAGUAGCAAUACUUGGUGGCGACCGGCGCACGGGUGAGUAACGCGUAUGCAACCUACCUAUCAGAGGGGAAUAGCCCGGCGAAAGUCGGACUAAUACCGCAUAAAACAGGGGCACCGCAUGGUGAUAUUUGUUAAAGAAAUUCGCUGAUAGAUGGGCAUGCGUUCCAUUAGGUAGUUGGUGAGGUAACGGCUCACCAAGCCGACGAUGGAUAGGGGAACUGAGAGGUUGGUCCCCCACACUGGUACUGAGACACGGACCAGACUCCUACGGGAGGCAGCAGUGAGGAAUAUUGGUCAAUGGGCGGGAGCCUGAACCAGCCAAGUCGCGUGAAAGGAAGAAGGAUCUAUGGUUCGUAAACUUCUUUUGCAGGGGAAUAAAGUGCAAGACGUGUCCUGUUUUGUAUGUACCCUGAGAAUAAGGAUCGGCUAACUCCGUGCCAGCAGCCGC
rnacentral:rRNA from 1 species